AGUGAGAUAAUUUAAGCCCUUAAAAUAAGAGGUUGUGGUCCUUUUAAUGGGAGAUGACCUCUCUCUCAUUG
rnacentral:tRNA from 1 species